UAUUCUAUUAUGCCCUACAAACUCUAUGGUUUAUUCUAAUAUAUCCCACUCUUACUAAAUAAUUUCUUUUCAUUUAUUUUAAAAUCGAAAACAUGGCUAAGUACAGAAAAGCCCUUAAUGAAUUUACUUAUCUACAGAUCCAACCUAAACUAACCCACCCGAUCCAUGCCCAAUCGGAUCAAACCCGGAUUUUCCUUAACCCUAGCACGUGUUUCUCUUCCCCAUUCUCAAUCUCUCAAAAAAAAAAAAAAAAAAUCUACCGGGAUUCUCUGUAAGUAGCAUAUUCACUCUGUUUCUCCUCACCUUUCCGUUGUUCCCUUCUCAGUCUCCAGAGUUCGCCGGUGACAGAGUGCUCACCAAGUUCUGGGAACUGACUCACUUCUCUUUCGUCGGUACCGCUGCAGCUUAUGGUUUGUUUAGCCGUAGGAGUGUUGAAUCAUCAGUUAAUUCAAGGAUGAGCUGUGUAGAUGAGUCUUCAUUGUCUUAUGUAUGUAGCUCUGUUUUUGACGAGGAUUCUUGUAAUUUUAGGAGUGAUGAGAGUCAUUUGAUUCAGGUGAAUGCCCGAGCUUCCGUGUAUCUCUAGUGAAUGAGAGAAAAUCUGUCGCUGAAUCAAGUGCAAGCUUGGAACUCAUUUUCAAGGGAGAUCUAAGGUGCGGUUGCUCGACCAGCUUAUGGUAUUGAUGGCCAUGUCGUGCACCAACCAUUACGCUUUUCCGGUUAGGAGUUUAAGGUCCGGUUUGUGAGAUAAGAUAGCUCUUGUGAUGAAGCUGUAAAUGAGAAACCUGGAGAAUCUUCAUCCCUCAUCUUGUCGCUUUUAUGAUUUGCACUUUCAUCCCAAUAGUUGCAAAUCUACAGAAAUUUUGAUUUGAUGCUUGUGUUUUUCUCUUUUGGAGCAAGUUGAGUAGACUUACAUCAUGGUGAAACCAGACGGCAUACAACGAGGUCUUGUUGGAGAAAUCAUCUCUCGUUUUAAGAAGAAGAGCUUUAAACUUAUUGGACUUGAGAUGUUUCAGUGUCUAAAAGAAUUGGCUGAGGAAUUUUUGCUUGCUUGAUGGGUAUAUGAACAUUACUUACGCAGACAGAGCAGUAUGUGAACGGACAACUUAAAAUUAAUAUUGAUGUUAUAUCAAUUAGAUACAGUAUGAUGUUUUGUAUAAAAUUAUGUUCUUGAGAAAAUUUAUGAAUGAUUUUAUUUUGUUGUGAUG